ensembl:lncRNA
AAUUUCCUUGGAUGAUUUUCUCGUUUAGAUCUCUGAUGUUAUAUAUGUUUUACGGGUGUUUGUAUCUGCAAAUGUGUGUUAGUGUGUGUGUGUGUGUGUGUGUGUAGCGUGUCAGCCACACAGUGUAUCACGCUUCAGCAGCAUCAUGCAGGCAGCACGCAGCCAGCACUGUUUCUAUGGAGCAGAGACCGCAGGCCUGAACCCAAUAGAGCUGCCGUGCGGGUCGGCAGAUGUUCCGUCUGCUUUGAACAAAGGCUGUUGAUGGCUCUGCGCUGCGUCAGGAGCUGCAUCUCCUGGGAGCCAUCUGAAAGAUGGCCGAGGUUUCGUUUGGCUGCAGCCGGACUCGCACUCACCGGGAGAGUGAGGACGCGGAUUGAAAUGAGUACCGAUGUAACAAAAAACUGCAGCGGACUUUGCUCUGUUUAUGUAAUAUUUGGACACACGGACAGAUCAGGUACUGUUGGACCACAU